AUCGUGCAAAGGUAGCAUAAUAAUUAGUUUUUUAAUUGGGAACUGGUAUGAAAGGUCGAACGAGAAAAAAACUGUCUCGAUUUAAAUUAAAUUAGAAUUUUAUUUUUAAGUAAAAAAGCUUGGAUGAUUUUAAAAGACGAGAAGACCCUAUAGAGUUUUAUAUUUAUUAUAAUUUUUUUUAGUUUAAGAAUUUAAUUUUAAGGAUUUAUAAUAAAUAUUUAAUUGGGGUGAUUGAAAAAUUAAAUAAACUUUUUUUAAUAAUUUAACAUUUUUAUAUGAAAAAUUGAUCCAUUUAUAUAUGAUUAAAAGAUUAAAUUACCUUAGGGAUAACAGCGUAAUUUUUUUUAAGAGUUCAUAUCGAAAAAAAAGUUU
rnacentral:rRNA from 1 species